AUAUCAAUAAGCGGAGGAAAAGAAACUAACAAGGAUUCCCCUAGUAGCGGCGAGCGAAGCGGGAAGAGCUCAAAUUUAUAAUCUGGCACUUUCAGUGUCCGAGUUGUAAUCUCUAGAAAGUGUUUUCCGCGUUGGACCGCACACAAGUCUGUUGGAAUACAGCGGCACAGUGGUGACACCCCCGUACACGGUGCGGACGCCCAGCGCUUUGUGAUACACUUUCGAAGAGUCGAGUUGUUUGGGAAUGCAGCUCAAAUUGGGUGGUAAAUUCCAUCUAAAGCUAAAUAUUGGCGAGAGACCGAUAGCGAACAAGUACCGUGAGGGAAAGAUGAAAAGCACUUUGGAAAGAGAGUUAACAGUACGUGAAAUUGUUGGAAGGGAAACGCUUGAAGUCAGACUUGCUUGCCGGAGCUUGCUUCGGUUUGCAGGCCAGCAUCAGUUUUUCCGGGGUGGAUAAUGGCGGUUAGAAGGUAGCAGCUUUCAGCUGUGUUAUAGCUUUCCGCUGGAUACAUCCUGGGGGACUGAGGAACGCAGCGUGCUUUUAGCGGGGGUUUCGACCUCUUCACGCUUAGGAUGCUGGUGUAAUGGCUUUAAACGACCCGUCUUGAAACACGGACCAAGGAGUCUAACAUGCUUGCGAGUAUUUGGGUGUCAAACCCGGAUGCGUAAUGAAAGUGAAUGUAGGUGGGAACCGCAAGGUGCACCCUCGACCGAUCUGGAUUCUCUAAGAUGGAUUUGAGUAGAGCACGUAUGUUGGGACCCGAAAGAUGGGAA
rnacentral:rRNA from 1 species